rnacentral:rRNA from 1 species
GUGAGGAAUAUUGGUCAAUGGACGAGAGUCUGAACCAGCCAAGUCGCGUGAAGGAAGACGGUUCUAUGAAUUGUAAACUUCUUUUGUGCAGGAAUAAAGUGGGUUACGUGUAACCUUUUGUAUGUACUAUACGAAUAAGGAUCGGCUAACUCCGUGCCAGCAGCCGCGGUAAUACGGAGGAUCCGAGCGUUAUCCGGAUUUAUUGGGUUUAAAGGGUGCGUAGGUGGAUUGAUAAGUCAGCGGUGAAAGUUUGCAGCUUAACUGUAAAAUUGCCGUUGAAACUGUCGGUCUUGAGUGCAAAUGAGGUAGGCGGAAUGUGUUGUGUAGCGGUGAAAUGCUUAGAUAUAACACAGAACUCCGAUUGCGAAGGCAGCUUACUGGGAUGCAACUGACACUGAUGCACGAAAGCGUGGGUAUCAAACAGGAUUAGAUACCCGGGUAGUCC